AGAUUGAACGCUGGCGGCAGGCCUAACACAUGCAAGUCGAGCGGCAGCACGGGUACUUGUACCUGGUGGCGAGCGGCGGACGGGUGAGUAAUGCCUAGGAAUCUGCCUGAUAGUGGGGGAUAACGCUCGGAAACGGACGCUAAUACCGCAUACGUCCUACGGGAGAAAGCAGGGGACCUUCGGGCCUUGCGCUAUCAGAUGAGCCUAGGUCGGAUUAGCUAGUUGGUGGGUAAGUAGGUCGUCUACCAA
rnacentral:rRNA from 1 species